GAUGAACGCUGGCGGCGUGCCUAAUACGUGCAAGUCGAGCGAACAGACGAGGAGCUUGCUCCUCUGACGUUAGCGGCGGACGGGUGAGUAACACGUGGAUAACCUACCUAUAAGACUGGGAUAACUUCGGGAAACCGGAGCUAAUACCGGAUAAUAUAUUGAACCGCAUGGUUCAAUAGUGAAAGACGGUUUUGCUGUCACUUAUAGAUGGAUCCGCGCCGCAUUAGCUAGUUGGUAAGGUAACGGCUUACCAAGGCAACGAUGCGUAGCCGACCUGAGAGGGUGAUCGGCCACACUGGAACUGAGACACGGUCCAGACUCCUACGGGAGGCAGCAGUAGGGAAUCUUCCGCAAUGGGCGAAAGCCUGACGGAGCAACGCCGCGUGAGUGAUGAAGGUCUUCGGAUCGUAAAACUCUGUUAUUAGGGAAGAACAAAUGUGUAAGUAACUAUGCACGUCUUGACGGUUCCUAAUCAGAAAGCCACGGCUAACUACGUG
rnacentral:rRNA from 1 species